GAUGAACGCUGGCGGCGUGCUUAACACAUGCAGUCGAACGAACCUUCGGGUUAGUGGCGGACGGGUGAGUAACGCGUGAGAAUCUGCCCUCAGGAGGGGGAUAACGGUUGGAAACGACCGCUAAUACCCCAUAUGCCGCGAGGUGAAAUGAAUUUCGCCUGAGGAUGAGCUCGCGUCUGAUUAGUUAGUUGGUGGGGUAAAGGCCUACCAAGACAUCGAUCAGUAGCUGGUCUGAGAGGAUGAUCAGCCACACUGGGACUGAGACACGGCCCAGACUCCUACGGGAGGCAGCAGUGGGGAAUUUUCCGCAAUGGGCGAAAGCCUGACGGAGCAACGCCGCGUGAGGGAUGAAGGCCUCUGGGCUGUAAACCUCUUUUAUCAAGGAAGAAGAUCUGACGGUACUUGAUGAAUAAGCCACGGCUAAUUCCGUGCCAGCA
rnacentral:rRNA from 1 species